rnacentral:rRNA from 1 species
GACGAACGCUGGCGGCGUGCCUAAUACAUGCAAGUAGAACGCUGAAGAGAGGAGCUUGCUCUUCUUGGAUGAGUUGCGAACGGGUGAGUAACGCGUAGGUAACCUGCCUUGUAGCGGGGGAUAACUAUUGGAAACGAUAGCUAAUACCGCAUAACAAUGGAUGACACAUGUCAUUUAUUUGAAAGGGGCAAUUGCUCCACUACAAGAUGGACCUGCGUUGUAUUAGCUAGUAGGUGAGGUAAUGGCUCACCUAGGCGACGAUACAUAGCCGACCUGAGAGGGUGAUCGGCCACACUGGGACUGAGACACGGCCCAGACUCCUACGGGAGGCAGCAGUAGGGAAUCUUCGGCAAUGGGGGCAACCCUGACCGAGCAACGCCGCGUGAGUGAAGAAGGUUGUCGGAUCGUAAAGCUCGGUUGUAAGUCAAGAACGGGUGUGAGAGUGGAAAGUUCACACUGUGACGGUAGCUUACCAGAAGGGGACGGCUAACUACGUG